rnacentral:lncRNA from 1 species
AGACAGAAAGGAUCAGAGAAGAGACGAAGGCAUGGAAUACGAAAUGAAACAGCAGAGAGUGCUAGAAUUCAGAGUUGGAAGAAGCCAUCGGCCUGGAAGAAAAUCUGGCCCAAGACAGAGAAAGUGAUAAAACUAAGUUUUCAAUGGAAUGGUAUCUCAAACAUAGUAAGAGGAAUUUAAACCAAAGGCCUAUCCAAACAAAAAUGUGUUUCCUUAGUCACUAAGCCAUACUAACGGCACAAUAAUUAUCAAGGUAGUUGAUUUAGCAACUUCCACUUCUGACCAUGAUGGAAUAGCUUGUGACAAAACAGUGUUCCCACUGAGAACAACUAGAAAAUAUGAGAUGAAAUAAAAAGCAACAAACACCUAUUUGAAGAUAUAACCAUAGAGACAGCCAAGCUUUCAGUUGCCAAGAUCCUGGGCAGAAACAUAAAGUAAGAGAGUAUUGUAUACUCAGGAAGCUGAGCUGGG